GCAUAUCAAUAAGCGGAGGAAAAGAAACCAACAGGGAUUGCCUCAGUAACGGCGAGUGAAGCGGCAAAAGCUCAAAUUUGAAAGCCUCGGCAUUGUAAUUUCAAGGAGCCAGACCACACCGACCAAAAGUCCAUUGGAACAUGGCGCCACAGAGGGUGACAGCCCCGUAGGUUUCGUGGUUGUGUCUGGCGCCGAAGAGUCNAGUUGUUUGGGAAUGCAGCUCUAACGGUGGUAAAUUCCAUCAAAAGCUAAAUACCGGCGAGAGACCGAUAGCGAACAAGUACAGUGAUGGAAAGAUGAAAAGCACUUUGAAAAGAGAGUGAAACAGUACGUGAAAUUGUUGGAAGGGAAGGGUUUGGGAGCAGACACGGUUCGGCCGGGCCAGCAUCAAUUGCGCGCGCGCCACAAAACGCGGAGAAUGUAAGCUUCGGUGGUUAUAGCUCCGCGGCAUAGCGCGUGCGCGAUUGAGGACAGCAUUUGAUUCAGGAUGCUGGCGUAAUGCUUCCAAACCGCCCGUCUUGAAACACGGACCAAGGAGUCUAACGUCCAUGCAAGUGUUUGGGUGCAAAACCCCAGCGCGGAAUGAAAGUAAGUGGUAGGAGCCGCAAGGCGCACUACCGACCGACCUCGAAGUGCUCGGAGAGGUUUGAGUGCGAGCAUGGCUGUUGGGACCCGAAAGAUGGUGAACUAUACUUGGAUAGGGUGAAGCCAGAGGAAACUCUGGUGGAGGCUCGCAGCGGUUCUGACGUGCAAAUCGAUCGUCGAAUCUGAGUAUAGGGGCGAAAGACUAAUCGAACCAUCUAGUAGCUGGUUCCUGCCGAAGU
rnacentral:rRNA from 1 species